GACGAACGCUGGCGGCGCGCUUAACACAUGCAAGUCGAGCGAGAACCAGGGCUUCGGCCCUGGGGACAGCGGCGAACGGGUGAGUAACACGUGGAUAACCUGCCCUCGGCACCGGGAUAGCCCGGGGAAACCCGGAUUAAUACCGGAUGGCCCUUCCGGCUCACGAGCCGGUCGGAAAAGGUAGCUUCGGCCUCCGGCCGAGGAUGGGUCCGCGGCGGAUUAGCUUGUUGGUGGGGUAACGGCCCCCCAAGGCUCCGAUCCGUAGCUGGUCUGAGAGGACGAUCAGCCACACUGGGACUGAGACACGGCCCAGACUCCUACGGGAGGCAGCAGUGGGGAAUCUUGCGCAAUGGGCGAAAGCCUGACGCAGCGACGCCGCGUGAGGGAGGAAGGCCUUCGGGUUGUAAACCUCUUUCAGGAGGGACGAAGCUACUCGGGUGAAUAGCCCAGAGGGUGACGGUACCUCCAGAAGAAGCCCCGGCUAACUACGUGCCAGCAGCCGCCGUAACAC
rnacentral:rRNA from 1 species